UUCCACGUGAGUGGAGGAAGGGGCUGGUGCGUAAGGCUAAAAGAAGACUCUACUGGACGACUUCAGAAAGUGUCCAAAGAGAAAGUGAAAGAGUCUAGAUUCAUGUUGUGGAAAUGGCAGGUUGAACCUGCAGACACAUGAUGACUACUGGUGACCCCAGAGGCCUCUAUGGAGAAACACACCACUGGGACAGAGCCAUGGACGAAGAGGACUGCAGUGGCUGGAGGGGGUGCUUCUGGCGCCCACAGGACUCACCUCUGCCCUAGGAGCUUGGGAUGGCAGCGGGGGAGCUUCCUUCCAGGUGCUGGGACUGGC
ensembl:lncRNA